UACGUAGGUGACAAGCGUUGUCCGGAUUUACUGGGCGUAAAGAGCGCGCAGGCGGUCGUUCAAGUCGAGUGUGAAAGCCCCCGGCUCAACUGGGGAGGGUCAUUCGAUACUGAUCGACUCGAAGGCAGGGGAGGGAAGUGGAAUUCCCGGUGUAGUGGUGAAAUGCGUAGAUAUCGGGAGGAACACCAGUGGCGAAGGCGACUUCCUGGCCUGUUCUUGACGCUGAGGCGCGAAAGCUAGGGGAGCAAACGGG
rnacentral:rRNA from 1 species